UACGUAGGUCCCAAGCGUUGCCCGGAUUUAUUGGGCGUAAAGCGAGCGCAGGUGGUUUAUUAAGUCUGGUGUAAAAGGCAGUGGCUCAACCAUUGUAUGCAUUGGAAACUGGUAGACUUGAGUGCAGGAGAGGAGAGUGGAAUUCCAUGUGUAGCGGUGAAAUGCGUAGAUAUAUGGAGGAACACCGGUGGCGAAAGCGGCUCUCUGGCCUGUAACUGACACUGAGGCUCGAAAGCGUGGGGAGCAAACAGG
rnacentral:rRNA from 1 species